rnacentral:lncRNA from 1 species
UCUAUUUAUAAAAUUAAAGAUAUUGCACUAUCACUAUAAAUCAUUUUUAGAGUAUCAUUCGAUAAAAUUAUAACAUUUUAUCGUGUCCUAAGAUACAUGUCUCUAAUUAAUUGAGAGUUUAUAAUUAUAUUCUUUUUUGUUAUUAUAUUCGUUCACAAUUUGUAACUACACCGGUAUAAAUAAAAAUAUAUUAAAUUGUUUUUCAAGUAAAUCACAGGAAACUCCUCUAAUAAUUCCAAAGACCAAAAAAGCAACAAUGGAUUCUCUCAAAAAUUUCAAAGGCUACGACAAAGUUGAAACCAACCUCGAAGAUCAACAAAAUCAGCCACAGCACGGCCACAAAAUCUCCAAACCCCUCAUCGCCACAAUUUCCAUCAUCAUCACCACCAUCCUCUUCCUCACUCUCACUUUAUCUUUCACCCUUUUAUUCCACCACACCGACUCACAAACCCCUCUCAACUCAACCGACUCAAUCAGAUCCAUUUGCAACGUGACUCGCUUCCCUGACUCAUGCCUCACCGCUUUAUCUCCCUCCUCACAAAACCUCACCAACCCAAACUCCAUCCUCAAACUCUCCAUCAUCGCCUCCGUCGACGAACUUACCAAACUCGCUUCAUCGCUAAAAGCCAAUUCCAACGAACGCGCGUUCGAUGAUUGCAAGGAACUAAUAGACGACGCGGUGAGUCGACUCAACGAAUCGGUUUCGGCGGUUUCCGACGGUGCCCAACCGUUGACGGAUGUUAAAAUUAAAGAUAUUCAGACGUGGGUUAGUGCCGCGUUGACGGAUCAACAAACGUGUGUUGAUGAGUUGGAAGAAGUUGGGCUUUCUUUGGAGACAGUUGAAAAGGUAAAGAAAAUGAUGCAGAAAUCAAAUGAGUAUACCAGCAAUAGUUUGGCUAUUGUGGCUCAUAUCAACAAUUUGUUACCAAUUCAUUAAAAAGUUUCAUAUUCUUUUUUGUUUAUUUGUAUUGUAAAAAUAAUAAUUGUGAAAUUUGUAUGCUUUUUUGUUUGAAUUUGUAGAUUGUAACUAUAUGAAUAUUUGUAUUUAUGGGGAAUGGAUUGAUUCCAUGCUUGUUUAAUGUCUUUUCAUUUUUUAUUUAUUGGUUCUUGGUGGUCCUCGUAAAUUGGCAGAUUUUUAUAGGUCAAAAUUCACCCAUGGGGUUUUCUAAUUCACUAUUAUUGUUGUUUGCAUUGAGAAGUUUUUUAUGUGGGUAAAUUCCUUUCUGUUCCAAUAUUUAUAGUUCUUAAAUUAGAUUUUCUUUUUAUAGAUUUUAAUUUUUAUUCUCUUAUUCUUAAAGUUCCAACAAGGGAAGGUUUGUUCAUUGUAACUCUUAAGUUAUGGAGUAGUGUUUGAUUUGUUAGAACUAAUAUCACACGUGAAAUGAGAAGAGAAAGAAUUGGAUUCAAAAUCAGUUAUGUUCAUUGUACUGUCAUCAUAACCAAUUACUUACAUAACACGUAACUCACACAAACCAUUUAAAAAUUUGAGAUUUUUCUUAACCAAAUAAAUACUAAUAUAUAAUAAAAAUUAGAUUUAUAUUUCAACCCCUUCUUAAUUCAAAGUUUUUACACCAAGUACAUUGAGAAUUCUUCUCAUUUUCUUAACUUUUUUAACUUUUUAUUUAUUUAGUUAGAACAUCUGCAACAUCUAUUUUAACAUAUAUCAGAAUGAUAUUAAUGAUAUUUCCCAUGCUUAGUUAAUCUUUAAGAAAAUGGAAUUCGAUUUCUAUAUACUUUCUCUUCCUAUGAUCUAUGUGAAUUUUAACAAGGAUUGCCACCGAUCACCUUGACAUGUUGAAUCGCAACCUAUCAUGUAUUCUCACUCUAACAAGAAGACAAGGUCACCACUGUCUGCUUUUUGGGAUACCAAAAGAUUAAAGAGUUGUAUAGUUUGAACACAUACUCUAUUGUGCUUUUCAUUUUCAUUUUUCUUUCACAUUACUAUGAAUCACAAAAAUCAAUCAAUUUGCCUCUCUGCCUUCAGAUUUUUGAAACAAAACACCAUGGUCAAAUGGGCCGCGGAGAUAUCUCUCGAUUCUUUUAAAUGCUUGCAUAUUUGACAAAUUAGGUUCUUGUAUAAAUUUACUCACAAUACCUAUAUCGUGACACAUUCGAUUUGAUAUAGUAUUUUAAUGGAUUAUAAUUUCUUUCCUAUUAUAAAUAAAUUCAAGACUAAAUAAGUACAGACCCGACGAUACUGUACAAGUGCAGCGAUGAGGACUCAAAUUUUAGUAGGUCUUAAAUUUUAUUUUUUUUAUUUUUUUAUAAAUAUUAAUAAAAAUAAAUAAAAUGUUAUUAAAAAAACUCAAUAAUUGAAAAAAAUGUUAUGAUAAAAAUUCAAUACAUACAAAAAUCAAGAAUGAUCAAAAUUCAAAAUAAUUAUAAUUAAAUUUAUAUUUAAUUAAUAAUAAUUGUAUUAUAUAUAUAUAUAUAUAUAUAUAUAUAUAUAUAUAUAUAUAUAUUUUUAUAUAUAUAUAUAUAUAUAUAAUUGUAUUUUUUUUAAAAAUUGAAUUCAUUUUUAAAAUUAGAACGGGGCAUCCGAUAUGAUUGGGUCGGUCCUGAGUAAGUGUAAUACUCCUCCUCAUCCAUAUUAAACUCAAUGCUCAUCUGCAAUUUGAGGUUCUCAAUCUUAGUAUGAUUACUUCCAACGAUGGGUAGAUCGACCGCAUAUAGGCACAAUAUGACGAGAUUACCUUGAUUCAAUCAUUUGAAAUAUAUUCCAUGCUUAAAAAUAUAUUUGGAAUAUCCAAUUCGAUUUAAGAACUCAUUAAUUUUCCUGUUCAAGGCUAUUGAAACUUGUUUUAGGUUAUAAAACAUCUUAUUAAGCUUCAACACCUUGUCUUCCUCACCUUUUCUAAUGAAUCUUUGAAGUUGUAAAACAAAAAUUCUUCCUCAAGAAAGCAGCUGACAAAUGCACACUAAACAUCAAGUUGAACAAACUUCCAUUGCACGAAGUUAUCCAUAACCACUACUAACUUGACAAUUUCAAUUCUUAUAAUUGGUGCAAAGAAUUCUAUCAAAUCAAGGUUUUCUUUUUCCUGAAUCUCUUUGAAAUAAUUUUUGUGUUGUACUUUGCAAUGGAAACACCAGAAGAAGAAACCAAAUUACAAACAUAAUCGAAAGAGGGAAUGAACCCUGACCAAGUUGGGUUCUUCUUACAAGAGGAUUGUUAGAAUUUAACUUAUAGCUAUUGAUUUUUUGUUUUGGAAUAAGUAGUGCAUGAAGCAAUUUUACAGAAUUAUAGCUAUUGAAUUUAUAGAAACACUUUUAUAUAAUUUUUACAACUUCAAUUAAAUAUUUAAUAUUUAAAUAUAAUGUAAGGUUGGAUUUUUUAUAAAAAUAAAUCUGCAAGGAAAGUGAUCGUGGUUCCAUCGAUAUUUCUGACGUUCUCUAAACUCUUAAUAAGUGGUACUAGCGUUAUGGUUUGGAUCGACUGAGGAGAAGAAGUGGAUCCUAGCAUGGAUCUAGUGAUGUAGGUGACUCAAACUUGUGAGAAAGAUUAUUAUGAGUGGAUAAAUCUCAUAUCGACUAAAAAUUGAGGAAAUGUUAGAUUUAUAAGAGAAAAAACUCACACCCCUAGUGACUUAAGGAUUUGGAUGGAUAUGUAGCGUCAAGAUCUCUUGAAUCCUAAAGAAUUAGUCAAUUGACUCUUCCUAGUAUUUUGAUAAUAUUUGAAUUCUAGAAUUUCAGUUUAAAAACAUACAUUUCACGUUUUCAAAACGAGUGACUUUGAAAAGAUUUUAGGGGUGGAAGAAGAAAGUAUCGCACAAAUAUUCUUUAUACUCUACUAACCAUGCUAGAUGUAGUAGGCUAGAUGUAGAAGGAAAGUGAAAGAAAUAUGGGAUUUAUUACCCCGUCCAAUGUGUUGGAAAAGCACCCUAUAAAAAAUUCAAAAUUGUCCCUCAGAUUCUGGAAAUUCAUCUUCGGACGCACUCUUGUCUCUAGUCAAAACAUUAAAAUUGAGCCACACCCAACAUAUUCUGCAAAAUUUAAUUCGAAGAUGUAUCUCCAGGAUAAUUCAAUGUACAUAUCAUGCAUCCCUCUUUGAAAUGCCCAUUUUUCCAUACAUUGUUCCAGAGAUGCAUCUUUGUGAAGCUACGCAAAAAAUACUCGAGUGCAUCGCACGCUUGAAGAUACAACGGAGUCGCCAUCGAAAUUUAUUUAUUCCCGAAGGAAAGGGAAAACAUCGAUAAAACCCGAGGGAAGAGAAAAUGAGUAAGGAAGUCGGUUAUGCAAAAGGAAGGUAUUAGCAUCCCUCACAUCCAUUGUACUCAAUGGGAACCAUUUUGAUUGUUCUUGCUCGAAUGGAUGUUAUCUAAAGAUUACUUGCAAAAGAUAAGGGAAAAAGAAUGGAAUAGAUAGAGUGCUCGGUGAGGAUUAGGACCUUCACGCCUACGUAUCCUUAUAGUGCAAUAAGGAAUUCAGAGCUCCGUAGUUCAUAGAACUAAUGGUGGGAGAUGAAAGAGGUUGUGAUAAAUGUAUGGUUUGAACCAAAGGAUUGUAUUGUUUGAACCAAUAGGGUAGGUAUGUUUGAACUAAUGAGAAAAGCUAGCAUGAACCAAUAUAUGGUAUGGCAAAAAAUAAAGGGUUUUCAUCCUAUAUAAGGACUUCAAUGUAAGUAAAACAAAAGAAAAGUUUGUCUAUACAAGUCAAACAAAAAGACUAUUGGUUCAGAGGCAGACAUUAGUUAUUGGCCCAAAAGUAUGUAUGAAAUCUAACGAAAUAUUGUAUUUGGUUCAAAGAGAAAGUAUAUCAUUGAUGAAUGGUUGAAUGUUAAAGGUAUUGAAUGAUGAAGAAUGGAACAUGAAUUGAAGGAUAAAGAGAAAAAAUAAUAAUUAAUAUGAUCGUCAAGGAUUUGAAUGCUCGUGCCUACGUAUUCUCAUUGUGCAAUGAGAAAUUCAGAGCUCCAUAGUUCAUAUAACUAAGACGGAAAGACUGAAACAAGGUCUUUUCCUAGGCAACUAGGACUAACAAGACAAACAAAAAUAAAAGGGUAUGACUGAAGUGAUGAAAAGUAUAAUUUGCACUAAAAGAUAAUGGUAUUGUUUGGAUCCAUAGGAAAUUAAAUCUGAACCAAAGAGUAAAGCAGACAUAUUGGCGAAAAAGAAAAAAAAAGGAAAUGUUUGUCUAUACAAGACAAAAACUCUUGGUUCAAAGGUGGGAAGUGGUUAUUGACCCAAAAGGUAUAUUGUAUUUGGUCCAAAGAAAUAGUAUAUCACUAAGAUGAAUGAUCAUGAUUGAAGAUACUGAAUGAGAGAUGAUGAAAGAUGUGGAUGGUGCUCUAAGACAGAAGAAUAUCUUUGAUUGAUUAUUAUAAUUAUGAAAUUAUUUGACGAGUUUAAUCAUUGGUACUUAGAGGGAGACGAGCGUCUAACCACUGGCUAAGUACGACGGAUAAUCAAAAUACUCAGGAGUUGAGAGGACAGUUGCAUCCUAACCCCUCUUUUUCACUCUCAAAGUACCAGAUUAGACUCAUUUUUAUUGUUAAGUGUUUUGAAAGGAUGUCAAGUAUCAGGCCACGAGGUAGGUACAACCGACAAACCAAGUACUUGAAGUAUUGUGCACAAGUACGAACACCCCAUCUUUUUCAUCCAAUUUAUUAUGAAAAUUCUUUGAUGUAUAGAAAUGCAUCAAGAUAAGAAGAUAGAAUAAAAUGAGAUAGAAUGAAAUGGAUGGGAUAAAGAUAGGGUGGAAAUGGAAUGGAUGUUGAGAUACUUGACGUUAGAUCAAGCACUCGUGUUGCUUUUGAUUUGAUUUGAUUUUGAAAAGCACUUGACAUUGGAUCAAGUGUGUUUUUAUUCUUUUGAAGAGUAUUCUUUUUAUAAUUUUAUUUUUAUCUUAUCAAUUAACAUAUAAUGUAAACAAUAAGGAAAAUAAAGUCUUAAGCUAUUACAUGAUCAUGGGAAUGAGGGACAUAUUACCCACAAUGGGGGGAUGAAUCAUCAAUCAUACAAGAAUGAGAAUAAGUUACAUAUAAACAUAUAAUGGUAUCAUGCCCUAAAACCAAUCAAGUGGCAAUGGUACCCUAAUAAAUACACAACUAUGAUCAUGUAACAUACAUCAAUAUACAAUUGGAUAAACACAAAUGGUAUACUAAUCUAAAGAAUGCAAAUCAAAGAUUAAAGGCUACAUUCAAACAUGAAUCAAAGUGGACGAAUCAUAUAAAAAGAUCAUUAGUUCUAAUAAAAAAAUGACUAAAAACAAUCAUGUAUCACAUUGAAUUAUUAAACAUGUUUAGCUAAAAAAUCAACCUACAAUGAAGGAUUAAAAAUAUGAUGAACCAUGAUCUUCAAAAUGACUUAAUAAUCUAAAAUCAAUUAUAAUCAAAUCCUAUUCUAAAGCAUUAAUUCAUUGAUUUAACAAAUUUUUUAAAAUGGUUAACAAAACAUAAUUAAAAAUUUCAACCAUAUAAUAAUGUAUUCUCUAAGUAUUCAUGUGAAACAAUUAUAAAAAAUCCAUCCAAAAAGAAGUAAAAUAAUAAUAAAAAGAAACAAAAGAAAAUAAAAGAAAAUAAAACAACGACAGGGGAGGUCGCCUCCGGUAACGGAGGAUGGCCAACUACCGAGAAAAAUACACCAUCUCAUUUAUUAUCAUGUACCCAAAUCGAAUUCGUGACUAAUUUCACCAAAUUCCCAGUCCCACGCCCUAACCGAAUGGAAACACUCAAGAACCUUAAAUGCACAAAGUUAAAUUAAAUUAUCACCAAGCUUAAAAUCAACCUAUAACCAUGGGGUUAUUGAUCUACAACCUUCAAUUAAUCAAUCGGUAACAAGAAGUUGAAUAAACUGAGUGAAAACAUGUGAGCUCACUGGAGUAAUUCGAAGCUGAAGGUACACAAUCAGCAAGGUAACUUUCUACACACUUUUCUUUUGUGUCAAUUAUUAUCUCUUCUUCUUCUUCUUCUUCUGGAUAUUGGUUGAUGUGUGAAUCUCCAAUUGGAUUGAAUUGAGGGAAAGAUUUGAGUGAUGAGAUGAGUGGAUGAACUGGGAAUCGUGAGAGCCUAGGUGAAAAAUGUAGAUGAUGAUGGUGGUUCCUUUGAAUUGGUAAAAAUGAUGAAAUGGUGAUUAAUGAAAAUGGUGAAACAAUUCUGAACAAUUGAUGAUUAUUGAUUUGUUGAAUGAACUGGUUAAUAUGGUGGAUUGUGCUUAUGUGUGAAAUUGAUCCCUUCAAAUGGGGAUUGAAGAUGUCUUUUUAAAGCCCUUCAACCCUCCAACCAAAUCAGUUAGAGUCUGUUAACCAGUUAGCCUCGAAAUAAGUGUAGGUUGUUAGAAAAACCGUUAGGCAGUUGGAGAAUUUCUAGGAUAAAACCGAGCUGAAAAACUGUUAGUUUGUAAGGUUAAAUUUUUCUGUUAGGAUGUUAAAGCUAGCAGAAAUAUACCCGAACGCAUCACACGUUCGAAUAUACAACAAAGUCGCCAUCGAACUUUAUUUAUUCCUAAACGAAAGAGAAAACAUCGAUAAAACCUAGGGAAAAAAGAGAAUGAGUAAGGAAGUCAAUUAUGCAAGGGGAAGGUAUUAGCACCCCUAACAUUCGUUGUACUCAAUGGGAACUGUUUUGAUUGUUCUUUGCUAUGAUGGGUAUGAUAUCUAAAGAUUACUCACGAUAGAAUAAAGGGAAAAGAAAAGAAUAUAUAGAAUGCUUAGUGAGGAUUAGAGUCCUCAUGCUUACGUAUCCUUAUAGUGCAAUAAGGAAUUCAGAGCUCCGUAGUUCAUAGAACUAAUGGUAGAAGGUGAAAAGAAUAGUGAUAACAAUGGUUUGAACCAAAGGAUAAUGUGGUUUGACUCCAAAAAUGUAUGAAAUCUGAAUCCGGGAGUAAAAUUGGCAUGAACCAAUAUGUGGGGAGCCUGAGGCAUGUAACCAUUAUAUAUGGCCGAGUCGAAAACAAAGGGAAUUAAGUGUUUGACAUCAAGGAAAAAGAUCUCUCGGUUCAAAGCAGACACUGGAUGAAGCUCAAAGCAAUAAUGUAUUUGGCUCAAAGAGAGAGGUAUAUCACAUGAGGUGAAUGAAGGUAGUAGGUAUGAAUGAAUGUAAUGAUUAAUGAUCCAUGAAGAUAAAUGGAAGGAUAGAAAAAAGUAACCAAAGUCAAAGAAAUGAGGGAUUUGGUAAAAGUGACAGAAUGGUAUGAUUUGGAACUAAAAGUAAGGGUAUUAUUGGAAUCCAUAAAGGAAAUGGUAUUUGCAACCUAAGAGUAAAGGUGACAUAAACCAAUAUGUGGAGAGCCUGAGACAUGUAACCACUAUAUAUGGUCGGGCCAAAAACGAGAAAUUAAGUGUUUGGCAUCAAGGCAAACAUCUCUUGGUACAAAUGUCGACAAUUGUUCUAAAAGGGUAUAUACAAAAUUCCAAAGAAGUGCGGUGUUUGGUUCCAAAGAAAGACAAUAUGUCACUGAGGUGAAUGGCUAUGAUUGAAGAUAGAUGAUUGAUUAUGAAAGAUAUGGAUAGAGCCCUAGGGCAGAAGAAAGAAUAAUUAUGCUCGCCAAGGAUUCACAUCCUCGUGCCUACGUAUUCUUAUUGUGCAAUGAGAAAAUCAGAGCUUCAUAGUUCAUGGAACCACAAAAACAAAAAGAAGGGAGAUUGCAAGUGAUGAAAAGGUAUAACUUGCACCAACAGAAAAUGGUAGCACGGGAACUGAAAAAGGAGAUGCGAAAAAACAACCGGCGAGAAAGAAAUGACAGAAGAGUCGCCGCCGUGCGUUAUUUAUCCCAAAGGAGGGAAAGGAAACGCUCGAAGUAAACCUGGAAAAAGGAAAGGAAAAGACAAGGUCUCGCAACCAAAUCUUGGGUUCGGGAGUCGAUUAUGUGAAGGGAAGGUAUAUAGCACCCCUACGCAUCCGUAGUACUCUACGGGAUCCACUCUUGUUGUUCUUGUCUAAAGGGUGUGGGUUUAUCUAAUGUACUAUUUACUAAAAGAGGGGUUAAAAGAAAAUGACUCGCACGGAUGUUGCAUCCACUGCAUACGUAUCUCAUCUGAAUAUGAGAAUCAGAGUCUUCGUAGCUCGGCUACUAUGGGUUAAAGAGGAGUGUGCUCACUAAGACAUCGCGUCUUAUGCCUACGUAUCUCAUCUGGAAUGAGAAUCAGAGCAAGCCGUAGUUCGGCUAACUACGGGUUAAGGGUUGUGUUUUUGGGUGAACGACGUUACUACGCAAUCUACCAGAUGCUCGACCUUUGGAGACUUACUCGCCUGUAGUAGAAGGAGUAAAUAUGUUCUUAGGAGAAGAAAAAUCAAUGAGUUAUUGGUGUUUUAGGGAUGCUCAUGCAAAAAGGCAGUCCUAGACGAAGGAACCGCACUACCUUAAUGGACAUGCAAACAGGAGACUAUACGAAGCCUAGCAAUCUUAUGGGGAGACGAUCACACCGUAUAAAACAAACAUGCAUAAAGUAAAAUGCCAACAAGGGGGCUCAAACAUACAUGGGUAGGGCUUUAGUCAAGAUGGGUCAUAUCAACCUCGAUAAACAAGCCAUGGAAUAGGUAAUCAAAUGGGCUCUUAACCACUGACAUUGAACGUCAGGGUGAGCAGAUCAAAAGGGUAAUGAGGAUAAGACCUCAUAGCUCUUAACCAUGAACGUCAGGGUGAGCAGAUCAAAAGGGUAAUGAGGAUAAGACCUCAUAGCUCUUAACCCUGGACAGGGUGAGCUCAUGACAAAAAGUGGGGAUUCAGAAAGGUGGAACCCUCUCCACUGACCGACUGGACAAAAGAUCUUGGGCUUUUGUUCUGAAGCUUCAGCACGUAGUGCGGGCAUAAAGAACGACACACUGAAUAACGGGGGAUUGAUUACUAAUCCCUUUUAUCCGCCAAUUGCCUCUGCAUGGAGGUCUUUUAGCACUAGUGCCUCUUCUUGGAGGUCUUUGAGCAUAAAAGUAAACAAACAAAAGAAAACAUUGCCUCCUAUUAAGGUCUUCCAGCUAAGAAAACGGUAAAAUGCGGGAAAAAUAAAGGGAUCAAGAGGUCUACCGCAUGGAUAAAGAUCCGAAGUAACAGCAACUAAAGACAUAAGAAACCCAGAGAUCUCCCAAGCUGGCACCAUUAAUGAAAGCAAGUCAAUACAGGUAAUCGGAAUAAACCUCCAGAUGGUAUCCCACAAAUAAAGUGGAAUAUCAAGCAAGCUAUCCUUUCAGAGUCACGUGAGCCCUCACAAAACUCAACAAACAAGUUAGAGUAACAGGAUGGAAUCAAGAGAAAACAAUGCCAUGCCAAACACAAAACAGAUUAGAGCAAACAGAAAAAGAAUCAAUUACUGUCACGCUCGCUACUGCUUCACCUAGCGAAGGCUUAGCGAGGCUUCGCUGCAGGCUCGCCUAGCGAAGCGGCUAGUGAAGGCCUGCGGGUUUUAGGUUCUUCAUUGAUAACAGUCUGAUCUCGGUAACCCAAACCCUAUGGCAUCCAUCUCAGAAACGAAACGAUCAAACAUUCGAAGUAUUAUUCAUGCAUAUCUACCCGUGGGAAAAACCUCACGAUAAUACCUCAUACAUUCAGAGUGUUCAAAUUAAAAGCAUAAAGUAAUGGGAAUAGGGCAAACCUGAUUGGAGAGAUCGAAUGGAAUUGAAUUGCCCGGUUGGGUUUGCAGAGCAAUCUUAGGGUUUGUAUGAGGCAGAACAGGUUCUUUGCAGAUGAGUUCCUUUCAGUGUCCGGAGGCUGCUCUGAAUCCUGUCAGCUCUUCUCUCACUAUUUUUUUCCAGGGUUUUUUGGGAGGUGGAAGUCUAGAAUGUAUAACCUGAUUUUUGUGACUUUGUGGGCUCAAAUGAGGGCAACUCAAGCCCAUGACUUUCUGUUAUUUUUUGAAAACACGUGAGCUUCGCCUAGCGAAGGACUUGCUCGCUUAGUGAGCAUGACAAUUCAGUUCGCUAGCGAACCAUGCUGCUCGCCUAGCGAGCAUGACAGCUCAGAAACAAAUUUUGCUCGCUCAAGAUUAGCAUUUUGAAUGAUGAAUAGACCCCAUUUGAACCUGUUGGAAGUAACUCAAGUCGUUUCCUCGUGUUGACUGAUCACCUGGAUAGAAUCCACAAAGUGUCCCGGAUGAUGUUCAAGCUUCUUGGAUUUGAUCCUGAUUGACAUGAUGAAAUGCAAUAUGAAAUGUUAAAUGACCUAAAAAUGCAUGCAUGAAUGAGGAGGGAAAAUUUUGGGGUGUUACAGGAACCCAUAAAGGUAAAUGAACUUUGAACCAAAGAGUAAAGGUGGCAUAGACCAAUAUGUGGGGGGGAUGAGGCAUCAUACCACUAUAUUAGAAUGACCAAAAACAAAUGAAUUAAGUGGUUGGAAUCAAGGCAAACAUCUCUUAGUUCACAAGGUAGGCACCAGAAUCGCCCUAAAAGUAUAGGUAUGGGACCGAAAGGAAAAUAUGAUAUUUGGUUCAAGAAAGUAGUAUAUCACUGUAGGGGGACAAACAAUUUGAAACGAAAGAAUAGUAUGUUGAGUCCAUGAAGGAAUAAACUCUGAACCAAAGAACAAAGGUGGCAUAAACCAAUAUGUGGGGGGACUGAGGCAUCAUACUACUAUAUUGGAAUGACCAAAAACAAAGGAAUUAUGUGUUCGGCAUCAAGGCAAACAUCUAUUGGUUCAUAAGUUGGACUCUGAUUAAUUGUCCUAAAAGGAUAUGAAUGGACUCCAAAGGGAUAAAGUAUUUAAUUUCAAAAGGACAGUAUUGAUUGAUGAAGAAUUAAUAAUUAGGGUAGCUGAAUGGGAAAUAAUAAUUAGGAAGCUCGCAGAGAAUAUGAAUCCUCGUGCCUACGUUUUCUCGUCGUGCAAUGAGAAAGUCAGAGCUCCAUAGUUUGGCUUACGACGGAACAAAGACAAAUAUGAUUGGGUUGCCAAGAUGCAAGAGAAAUGGAAAUGAAAGAUGAAGGAGACUAUGCAGUCACUGGAUAUGAACCAUAUAAAGUCUAUGAGUAAAUGUGAAUACAAUGAGCAACUGAGUCAUUCAUCUCGUAUCCAAAGAUAUUCAGAAUGAGUUAAUGAAAUUCUCCAUUCUCAUUCCUUCUUUACUACUUAAGGCUUAUGGCAUGUGAUUCUAAUCAUAACUUUCAAGUUGUUGAGGAAGAAUCCUUGCUGCUCCUUCUGAUGAUGAAGACUUUGUCAAUCAUUUGAUUUGAAUUGCACUAAAAUCUAUGAACAAAUUCCUUGAGCAACUAGGUCAUUCGUCCCGUACCCAAGGAUACCCUAGACAAGGAUAGGAAUGCUCCACUCUCAUUAUUCUUUGUUAAUUAAGACUCAUGUCACACAACUUGAAUCUUGAUUGACAAGCUUUUGAAGAAACACCUUUGAUAUGACUGGCAUAGUAGUCCAUUGCUUGAUUUGUCUGGGAUGCCUUGACUGAAAAUUUGAACUUGAGGACUUGAGAUCCACAACAUUACAGGAACUAGUUUUACCAAGUGAUCAAGGGACUUUUUAUCACUUGAAUAGACUGAGGAAUUAUACACAAUCAAAGGAUUUAGUUAAUCAAAAUUUCUUUUUAUCAACUUAAUCAAAGGGAAAGAAUUAGUUGGUAAUCAUGUAGAACAUGUCUAAAGGUUAAUCAUUUAAAACCUAAUUAUCAUCAACAUUAAUUAAUUAAAAUCUAAUGUUUCUAAUCACUUUAAUAAAUCCAAUUAGAAGUUAAAAUCUAAUUAAUUUCUAAUGGACUAAUUAAUUCAAUUAAUUUUUAAAACCUAAAUCAAGUUCUAAAAAUUAAUCAAUCUGAUUAAUUUCUAGAACCUAAAUAAGCUCUAAAAUUUAAUUAAUCUAAUUAAUUUCUAAAACUUAAAUCGAGUUCAAAAAAUUAAUUAAAUUAAAGAUCUAAAAAUUCUAACUAACAAGAUUAAAAUUCUAAUUUUUCUAAUCCUAAGUUUUAAUUCUAAUUAUUUCUAAAACCCAAUUAAGUUCUAAAAAUUCUAAUUACUCUAAUUGAAUUCUAAAACCUAGUCAUUUCUAAAAAACUAAGUCCCUAAUUAACCUCUAAUCAUAUUCUAAUUAAUCAUUAAUUCUAAAAAUCUAAAAAUUUUAAAUCACCUAAAACAAUAUUCUAAUUAAUCCCUAUAUAACCUAAAACAAUAUGGAAACAAUUAAAAAAAAGUAAGAGGUGAUUAUGGAGGUUCAGGCCUAAUGUGAGGUGUAAAGAAAACAUAGACUUAAGGUUAUAUUGGGCUACAAUUAAAAAACAAAAGAAAAAAAAGGUUGCACUAAAAGAUAAGAAAAGAAAAGUUGGACUUAAAAAAAAGAAAAAAGGAAUCCCCCACAACCGGACCGGGUCGGCCGACCGGUGCACUAGACCGGACUGAAAUAGUCUAAUGUUAACACAUCCUCCCAUUUUUUGAAACGUAAAUGGUAGUGGGGAAGGGGAAAAGAUGUAUCGUGUUGUGGUGGCGAUGUGGCCGCAGUGGUGACCAUCUGGGGGGCUGGCUAGCGGAGGUCCUCCCCCACCCCUACGUCAAUGAUUAUGCUAAGAAUUGAAGAUUACUUGUUAAGCUAAUUUCUAUGUCACUUGCACUUUGGUUUUCUUUGGAAAUAAGUGUUUACAUAAAAAAUCUAUUUGCUCUAUACCUAAAUCAAAGUUAUUGCUAUACUAACUACAACUUUAUUGCUAUGUUAAGUGCAAAUCCUUGUCAGACUAUAGAGAAGACUAUGGUAUAUUCAUUUCCAUGCUACUUUAAUGAUAACUUUUUGAACAAUUAAACUACUUUUUAUGAUCGAAUUAACCUCAAAAGAGUAGUAUAAUCUAAAGGCUCUACCACAUGAAAUUAAUAAGAUAAACCAUACAAGAGGAUUCAUGGCAAUGACAUGGAAAUAGUGUCGCAACCUAAAAGAGGAAUGCGAAAAAAACAACCGGCGAAAAAAGAAAAGAAAUGACAGAAGAGUCGCCACCGUGCGUUAUUUAUCCCAAAGGAGGGAAAGUAAACGCUCGAAGUAAACCUGGAAAAAGGAAAGGAAAAGACAAGGUCUCGCAACCAAAUCUUGGGUUCGGGAGUCGAUUAUGCGAAGGGAAGGUAUUAGCACCCCUACGCAUCCGUAGUACUCUACGGGAUCCACUCUUGUUGUUCUUGUCUAAAUGGUGUGGGUUUAUCUAAUUGUACUAUUACAUAAAGAGGGGUCAAAGAAAAUGACUCGCACGGAUGUCGCAUCCCUGCAUACGUAUCUCAUUUGAAUAUGAGAAUCAGAGUCUUCGUAGCUCGGCUGACCUAUUUGUUUGUUUGUGUUUUUUUUAGGUGAACGACGUUACUAUGCAAAUCAACGGAUGCUCGACCUUUGAGACUUACUCGCCUGUAGUAGAAGGAGUUAACGUGUUCUUAGGAGAAGAAAAAUCAAUGAGUUUUUUGUGUUUUUAGGAAUGCUCAUGCAAAAAGAAGUCCUAGACGAAGGAACCGUGCUACCUUAAUUGACAUGCAGACGAGAGACUAUACGAAGCCUAGCAGUCCUAUGGGGAGACGAUCACACCACACAAAACAUAUAGCAUAAAGUAAACACACACAACAGGGGGCUCAAACAUACGUGGGUAGGGCUUUAGUCAAGAGGGGUCAUAUCAACCUCGACAAACAGCCAUGGAAAGGUAAUCAAAUGGGUCUUAACCACUGACAUUGAACGUCAGGGUGAACAGAUCAAAAGGGUAAUGAGGAUAGACCUCAUAGCUCUUAACCUUGGAUAGGUGAGCUCAUGACAAAGCGUAGGGGUUAGAAAGAUGAACUCUCCACUGACUGACCGACAAAAGAUCUUGGGCUUUUGUUCUAAAGCAUCGACACGUAGUGCGAGCAUAAAGAACGACACACUGAAUAACGGGGGAUUGACUACUAAUCCCUUUUAUCCGUCAAUUGCCUCUUCAUGGAGGUUUUUAGCACUGGUGCCUCUUCUUGGAGGUCUUUGGGCACAAAAGUAAACACACAAAAAACAUCGCCUCCUGUCGAGGUCUUCCAGCUAAGUAAGCGGUAAAAUGCGGGAAAGAUAAAGGGAUCAAGAGAUCUACCACACGGAUAAAAAUCCGAAGUAAUAACAACUAAAGAAGCAAGAAACUCGGUGAUCUCUCAAGCUAGCACCAUCAAAUAAAGCAAGUCAGCAAAGUAAUCGGAAUAAAUCUCCAAAUGGUAUCCCACAAAUAAAGUGGAAUACCAAGCAAGCUAUCUCUUCAAGAGUCAUGUGAACCCUCACAAAAACUCAACAAACAAGUUAGAAUAACAAGAUGGGGUGCAAUCAAGAGUUGCACCAAAUAAGAGUCAAAAUGUAACCACAUGAAUCAUGCCAUUAAAGUUCACAAAAAAAGUUCACAAAAAGCAACCAAGGUAGGAGGCCUAAACCUCUCGUCAAACAAAUGCAUCAAAAGAGUAUCAAAACUCAAAGUCAGGGGGCAUGGAUCCACACAUCAAGACAUGACAUACAUACUAAAAUAGGUGCCCGGAUGUAAUAAAAAGCAUGUCAUAACAAACACAAAACAUAUUAGAGAGCAAACAGAAAAAAACAGCUACUGUCGCGAUCGCUACUGCUUCGCUUAGCGAAGGCUUAGCGAAGCUUCGCUACAGGUUCGCUUAGCGAGGUGCUAGUGAAUGCCUGCGGGUUUUGGGUUCUUCUCUGGUAACAGUACGAUUUCAGAAACCCCAAACCCUAUGGUAUCCAUCUCGGCAACGAAGUGAUUAAACAUUCAAGGCAUUAUUCUACACAUUCAUGCACAUCUAAAACCAAAUGCAAAACCUAACGAUACCCACUCUUCCAAAUUCACCCAUAAUACCUCAUACAUCAGAAAUUUCAAAUUGGAAGCAUAAAGUAAUGGAAAUAGGGCAUACCUGAUAGGGAAGAUCGAUUGAAAUUGAAAUGCACCGUUGGGUUUGCAGAGCAAUCUUAGGGUUUAUAUGAGAUGGAGUUGGUAGAGAUGAUUCUGUGCAAAUGAGUUUUCUUCAGUGUGUAUGGAGGCUGCUCUGAACUCUAUUAGCUUCUCCUUUCUCUUAUAGGUCUUGUUCUUUUGAAUCUUUUGAGAAUUUAUACUGAUUUUCGUGGCUUUGUGGGCUCAAAUGAGAGAGGUCCAAGUCCAAGAUUUUUCUAUUAUAUUUUUUAUUUUCAAAACGCGUGGGCUUCGCCUAGCGAAGAAUCUGCUCGCCUAGCGAGCAUGUCAGUUCAGGAAAUUCCUUCUGAGCGCAGGUGACUCUGGUGGCUUUCUUGGGACUUGCUAGGCGAACCAUUCUGCUCGCCUAGCGAGCAUGACAUCUCAAGAACACACUUUUGCUCCUUCAAGAUAACGUUUUGAAUGAUGAACAGACCCCGUUUGAACAUGUUGGAAGUACCUCAAGUCAUUCUCUAGCCAUUUGACCUUCAGUUGACCAACAGUUGACUUUUGGCUUCACAAUUGAAUUUUGAACUGUACUGAGCCCAUUAAGCUUGACCCUUUAAAGAAAACCUCUGAAAAUGAAAUCAAGUGACUUGGAUGAUAUCCAAGCUUUUUGGAAGAUAAACUCUUGGAGCUAACUCUGAUUGACAUGAUGAAAUGCAAUAUGAAAUGUUAAAUGACCUAAAAAUGAAUGCAUGAAUGAGGAGGGCAAAUUUGAGGUGCUACAAAUAGUGAAAGUUCAAGGCUUACCAAUAGAGCCUAGAUUUGCUCCGGUGCAUGUUGAAAUUAUGCCGAAAAGAAGCGAAACCUGAAAAAAAAA